rnacentral:lncRNA from 10 species
UGUACAUAGCCCCUCCAUCUUCAAAGCCAGCAACAGUGAGCCAAGUUCUUCCUGUACUUUGAAGCUCUUUGACUUUCUCCUCUGCCACCAGCUAGAGAAAACAGUCUAAAGGGAUCAGGUGGUAAGAUAAGGCUCACCCAGAUAAUCUUAGCUUAAGGUCAAUUGAUUAGUAACCUUAAUUACAGCUGCAAAAUCCUUUUU